rnacentral:rRNA from 1 species
UACAGAGGUCUCAAGCGUUGUUCGGAUUCAUUGGGCGUAAAGGGUGCGUAGGCGGCUCUGUAAGUCGGGUGUGAAAUCUCGGGGCUUAACUCCGAAACUGCAUUCGAUACUGCCGUGCUUGAGGACUGGAGAGGAGAAUGGAAUUUACGGUGUAGCGGUGAAAUGCGUAGAUAUCGUAAGGAAGACCAGUGGCGAAGGCGGGUCUCUGGACAGUUACUGACGCUGAGGCACGAAGGCCAGGGGAGCAAACGGG